AGUGAACGCUGGCGGUAGGCCUAACACAUGCAAGUCGAACGGCAGCACAGUAAGAGCUUGCUCUUACGGGUGGCGAGUGGCGGACGGGUGAGGAAUACAUCGGAAUCUACUUUUUCGUGGGGGAUAACGUAGGGAAACUUACGCUAAUACCGCAUACGACCUACGGGUGAAAGCAGGGGAUCUUCGGACCUUGCGCGAUUGAAUGAGCCGAUGUCGGAUUAGCUAGUUGGCGGGGUAAAGGCGCACCAAGGCGACGAUCCGUAGCUGGUCUGAGAGGAUGAUGCCCAACCCCCGGAGGGAGACACGGGCGGGAAUUAUUGGAGAGGGGGCAGAGGCGAGUAUCGGACAAUGCGCGGGGGUCAAAACGACCUCUGGGGUGUAAGUGCUGUUGGUCGGAAAGUAAAAAAGCCAUUUUACCCCCGCGGAUAAUGACAGUACCCGAAGAAUAAGCCCCGGCUAACUCCGUG
rnacentral:rRNA from 1 species